UCUUCUAAAGGAGAGGAAGGGGGAGAGGAAGAGCAAGAGAUUCCCUCUCCUCACCAUGCUGGUGGCUCUUCUAGUUCCUUCACGGAGACUUAUCCCCAUUUUUCGACAUGACAGUAUGAUGUGAUGAAUCCUGAUGGAAUGUAUAGUUCCAUGCCUUUGACUAGGCCAGCGCAUGCACCAAAUGUUCCUUGGCCCGAUCUGAUAUAUUCUUGAAUUUUCAAUUCUUUGUCCUUAUUUCUUCUUAUCUUGAUGAACGGCUCUUAACCUGGUAGAGUUGUGCUUCAGGUUGAUGUGGAUGUACUGGAAAAAGCAUAUGGAUGAUUGGAUGCUUGCAGUCAUUGGCUCACACUCAAUCCUCCCAAUAUCUGCUCAAUGAUUUGAACUGGGCACAUAGAAUGGAAACUGUUGAUGCUACCAGAAGAACUUUAGAGGAAAGGAUCAGGAGCCUCAAACUUGAAAACCAUUAGUAUGAUCCUUGCUUUUUCGCCAGUCAAGAAGGAAAUACUGAAGGUGGCUCCUCUGGAGGUGGAUCAAGGAGAUCCUUACGCAGGCGGACACGGAGUCCUAAUGAUGUAUAACUUGUAUAUUUCAUUUUUCCAGCAAAAGAAAAGGAAGUGUUUCUUAGACAAUCUUGUAUUUCCUAUGUUCAGCUCUUUGUCCUUGGAAUCGCCUUAGAUCAUGUAGAAACUUUAACUAAGACAAGUUUAGAAUUCA